rnacentral:rRNA from 1 species
AUUGAACGCUGGCGGAAUGCUUUACACAUGCAAGUCGAACGGCAGCACGGGGGCAACCCUGCUGACGAGUGGCGAACGGGUGAGUAAUGCAUCGGAACGUGCCCAGUCGUGGGGGAUAACGCAGCGAAAGCUGUGCUAAUACCGCAUACGAUCUAUGGAGGAAAGCGGGGGACCGUAAGGCCUCGCGCGAUUGGAGCGGCCGAUGGCAGAUUAGGUAGUUGGUGGGGUAAAGGCCCACCAAGCCGACGAUCUGUAGCUGGUCUGAGAGGACGACCAGCCACACUGGGACUGAGACACGGCCCAGACUCCUACGGGAGGCAGCAGUGGGGAAUUUUGGACAAUGGGCGCAAGCCUGAUCCAGCAAUGCCGCGUGCAGGAAGAAGGCCUUCGGGUUGUAAACUGCUUUUGUACGGAACGAAAAGGCUCUGGUUAAUACCUGGGGCUCAUGACGGUACCGUAAGAAUAAGCACCGGCUAACUACGUGCCAGCAGCAGCCGCGG